CCACGGUCCAAGCGCCUCGAGGGUUGGGGGGGGCCUUGGCGCGGAAGGGAGGCUCCUUGCCCGCCCCGCGCUGUGCGUCUCUCCUUCGCCGCGCCCUCACCCUGGCCUCGCCCCCCGCGCUGUCCCGAUCGGAGUCCUGGAGCCUCUGAUGGAGCCGAGGUUUUGAUGUCCACUGGAACCUCGGGGUGGCGGUAGGGAAGGUGGCCCACCUGGUGGUUCCGCCUCGCGGGCGGCCGGGCCUGCUCCUUCCUAACACUGGGACCUGGGCCUGUUGGCCACAUCCCUCCCAACCAGGUCCGGUCCUGCUGACCAGAGGCCGGUGGAGCCCCAGAGGAGAGGGGUCAUGACUCCAGAGGCGGGGAAGGCCUGGCCUGGGGGCUGCGCCUUGGAGCGGGGCCAGGCCUCGGGUUUUGGUAAGGCCGUCUGCAGGAGGGGGUCCUGCUGAAGAGCGCGCAGCCCGCAGGCUUAGGCCCCUUUCCUCAGACCUAGCGGCACCCCAUAGUUGCCGGAUGACCGACCCCGGGCCAGACGGGGCUCCUGGAGGGGCGUGAAUGGAGCAGCCACGGGCACCCCUGCAGGCCUGCAGCACGUGGAGACACAGGAGCUGGGAGGACACCCCUGGGCCACAGGAGCAGCCCCCACCAAGAUGAAACAAGCAGAAACAGGCGAUUCGCAAACACACUGUAGCCUCAGGCUGGAGCAGUGUGGGAUUCCCAGCAUCCGGGACUGCUGAGUUGGCCUGAUGGGAGGAAGUGGGCAGUGGCUGGCCAGGUGGACAGGAAGAGAAUGGGGGAGAGCAGACAGCCUGGGUCAAGGGCCUGAGGAAGGAGCUCUUGGCAGCCCAGUGAAACCCCAGGGCAUGGGUGGUGGGUGGGGACGACAGGUCAGAUCACAGAAGGCCUAAGGCACAAGCAAAGGGGUCCCACUACAUACUGAACCCCUUACGGACGACAGAAGCUUUAGCCGGGGACUGCAAGGACCAGCAUAGACUGUGCAGCCUGAAGAUGUGAACAUUCCGUCCCCUGCCCCCAAACCUCCUGCCACCCGGCGCUCGAAACUCAUGGUGGACAGAUGAGUUCACCAGUGGCAGUCGGACAGAUGAGGCCAGAUGGCUCAGUGGCAGUGGGAGGCUGGAUCCCACUGACCAGGCCCUCCCUCAACCCCAGGGCCCUCCCAGGCCAAACAGGAACAAGGCGCCUACUGGGCUCGGCCAGCCCCUUGCUCUGGGCGAGGUGCAGGUCAGAAGUAGCCAUCACAAUCCCCAAAAGGUGGAAGACUCCCAAAGGCCUGUCUGCAGCUGAGUGGACAAGCAAGUGCAGUGGGUCCAUUUUUUUUUUUUUUUUUGAGACGGAAUCUCGUUCUGUCGCCCAGGCUGGAGUGCAGUGGCUCGAUCUCGGCUCACUGCAACCUCUGCCUCCUGGGUUCAUGCCAUUCUCCUGCCUCAGCCUCCCGAGCAGCUGAGACUACAGGCGCCCGCCACCACACCCGGCUAAAUUUUUGUAUUUUUUCUUUUUUUAGUAGAGAGGGUGUUUCACCGUGUUAGCCAGGAUGGUCUCGAUCUCCUGACCUCGUGAUCUGCCCGCCUUGGCCUCCCAAAGUGCUGGGAUUACAGAUGUGAGCCACCGCGCCCGGCCUCUUUUUUUUUUUUUUUUUUUUUUUUUUUUUUGAGAUGGAGUUUCGCUCUUUGCCCAGUCUGGAGUGCAAUGGCGCGAUCUUGGCUCACUGCAACCUCCACCUCCUGGGUUCAAGCGAUUCUCCUGCGUCAGCCUCCCGAGCAGCUGGGAUUACAGGCAUGUGCCAUCAUGCCGGCUAAUUUUGUAUUUUUAGUAGAGACGAGGUUUCUCCAUGCUGGUCAGGCUGGUCUUGAACUCCCGACCUCAGGUGAUCCGCCCACCUCAGCCUCCCAAAGUGUUGGGAUUACAGGCAUGAGCCACGGCACCCCCUGGCGGUGGGUCCAUUAUUAAGCCAUAAAAAGGAAUGAAGUUCUGGUCCCUUGACACCCGCUACAGCCUGGAUGAGCCUGGAGGCUUAUGCGCUGAGCAAAAUAAGCCAGAGACAAAAGGACAAACACUGUUGGAUUCCACUUCUGUGAGUCACCUUAGAGUAGUCACGGUCAUGAGGACAGAAAGUGGAGCAGGGGCUGGGGAGGGGAAUGAGGGAUUGGAGCUUAAUGGGGACAGAAUUCAGGAGCUUGAUUACACAACACAAAUGUACUCAACAGUACGGAACUGCACACUUUAAAAUGGGUAAAAUGGUAGAUGUUAUGAUGUAUAUCUUACAAUUAAAAAUAAAAAUUGUCAAGGCGCAGCGGCUCCCACCUGUAAUUUCAGCAGUUUGGGAGGCCAAGGCAGGGAGAUCACAAGGUCGGGAGUUCGAGACCAGCCUGGCCAACAUGGUGAAACCCCAUCUCUACUAAAAAUACAAAAAUUAGCUGGACGUGGUGGCGCACGCCUGCAGUCCUAGCUACUUGGGAGGCUGAGACAGGAGAACCGCUUGAACCCGGGAGGUGGAGGUUGCAGUGAGCUGAGAUCAGGCCACUGCACUCCAGCCUGGGUGACAGAGUGAGAGUCUGUCUCAUAAAAAUUAAUUAAUUAAUUACAUAAAAAUUAAGGCCGGGUGUGGCAGCUCCUGCCUGUAAUCUCAGCACUUUGGGAGGCUGAGGCAGGAUGAUCGCUUGACAUCAGGAGUUCAAGACCAGCCUGGCCAACAUGUUGAAACCCCAACUCCACUAAAACUACAAAAAUUAGCUGGGUGCAGCAGCUCAUGCAUGUAGUCUUAGCACUUUGGGAGGCUGUGGCAGGAGGAUUGCUUAAGCCCAGGAGGGUGAGGCUGCAGUGAGCUGUGAUUGCACCACUGCACUCCAACCAGGGCGACAGAAGAGACCCUGUCUCAAUAAAAAUUAAAAAAUAAAUAAAUAAAAUAUAAAAAUCGUAAAGGUUAAA
rnacentral:lncRNA from 1 species